CAUAUCAAUAAGCGGAGGAAAAGAAACUAACAAGGAUUCCCCUAGUAACUGCGAGUGAAGCGGGAAAAGCUCAAAUUUAAAAUCUGGCAGUCUAUGGCUGUCCGAGUUGUAAUCUAGAGAAGUGAUAUCCGCGUUGGACCGUGUACAAGUCUCCUGGAAUGGAGCGUCAUAGAGGGUGAGAAUCCCGUCUUUGACACGGGCUACCAGGGCUUUGUGAUACGCUCUCAAAGAGUCGAGUUGUUUGGGAAUGCAGCUCAAAAUGGGUGGUAAAUUCCAUCUAAAGCUAAAUAUUGGCGAGAGACCGAUAGCGAACAAGUACCGUGAGGGAAAGAUGAAAAGAACUUUGGAAAGAGAGUUAAACAGUACGUGAAAUUGCUGAAAGGGAAACGCUUGAAGUCAGUCGCGUUGUCCAGGGAUCAACCUUGCUUUUGCUUGGUGUACUUUCUGGUUGACGGGUCAGCAUCAAUUUUGACUAUUGGAAAAAGAUUAGGGGAAUGUGGCAUCUUUGGAUGUGUUAUAGCCCUUGGUUGCAUACAAUGGUUGGGAUUGAGGAACUCAGCACGCCGCAAGGCCGGGUUUUAACCACGUACGUGCUUAGGAUGCUGGCAUAAUGGCUUUAAUCGACCCGUCUUGAAACACGGACCAAGGAGUCUAACAUGCCUGCGAGUGUUUGGGUGGAAAACUCGAGCGCGUAAUGAAAGUGAAAGUUGAGAUCCCUGUCGUGGGGAGCAUCGACGCCCGGACCAGACCUUUUGUGACGGCUCCGCGGUAGAGCAUGUAUGUUGGGACCCGAAAGAUGGUGAACUAUGCCUGAAUAGGGUGAAGCCAGAGGAAACUCUGGUGGAGGCUCGUAGCGAUUCUGACGUGCAAAUCGAUCGUCAAAUUUGGGUAUAGGGGCGAAAGACUAAUCGAACCAUCUAGUAGCUGGUUCCUGCC
rnacentral:rRNA from 1 species